AAACUCCAAAUUCUGCAACCAGACAGAAGGCAUUUCAUACACUUAAGCAGAGCUGCUCCACAAUGAAUGUGUCCUUCUGCUUCUGAGAAUCAAACAAUCCUUUUGCUAAGGAAGAAAAUAAGCUGGAAAGAACACUCUCAUACUCUCUUCCUGAAGAAAGCUUUCAAUACAGUUCCUCCUGCUCCGGCCUGCCUCCUCUCAGGCUGUGCUCCUACUCUCCUGCUGUCAGAAGGCAGCCCAGAAACAUAGCACCUUUCAGAUUUAAAAAGGCAGGCACGGCUUGAUACAGGUACCUCCCCUGACUGUGAGGUCACACAGUGGGACUCCAUCCUUGAGGCCAAAUCCUCUGCAGUUCCCCUCUAGCUCUUGCUUGUCUUCCUUUCAACUCAUCCCUGCCUUGACCUCAAAUUGCCCACACAUUUUAGUCUGGCACUUGCCCUGACCCUGCUCUGCUGUCUUGGUUUCUGACCCCAGAUCCCACCUCCUACUCUGCUCUUGUGGCGCUGAUCACAUGGAUGCUGCCUGCACGGCUGCCCUCUGUCCUCCUGGGUCCAGCUUCUUCAGUGCUACCACCUCAGGAAUCAGGGUACACCAUGGUCUGGCCCCAUUAGGUGACCAAGAUGGGCACAUGGGCCCCUUGCUAGGUCUAGGCUGCCCAAGAGUGUCUUGAAGUACGGGCAUGCCUAUCUGAGGGCAGGUAAGAGCUCCUUGGCUGAGGCAGGGCGUUGCCUCAGGAGUCAAUCUUCUCAUUGGUGCCUUUUGUCUCUUACCUAAAGGUUGGGUGACUCUGGGCCCUUUAUCUAGUUCAACCUUUGCCACUAAAUCUCUAAGUGACCACCAGGAAGUAAAUGAACCAUUAUGGGCCUCAGUGAUUUCAUGUGUACAAUACAGUUUCUUGAUUCCCUAGCUAAUAAUCUUUUUACUACAUCAUAUUACAUUUAAAGGAAAAUCUAAAAAUCGGAAGCCAAAAAAAGACUUUAAGUUAAAUUCUGGCAUAGAUAUACUAGCUCAGAGUUUCCUAAUUUUUUUUGUCUAAUAAAUGUUUGCCAACUGAAUAUUUGUUGAACUGAAUGCAGCAUGUCAAUAGUUCUCAGGCAUUAAUGCAGAAGAAUUGGGAGGGCAGAUUAAAAUGCAUAUCCCCAGGCUCCUCCUCAGAGCUUCCAAUACCACUGGGACCUAGCAGCAUGCAUUUUAAUAUGAGAAACUAAAAAAGACCAAGGUUUUGAAGUAGACAUUGGUACCUUUCUAGGGGCCAAUUCACCAAUAUGCAUUAGAAACUUUAAAAAUAGUAGAACACUAAAGUCAAUCAAAAUGUCCAACAACAAAAAAUUGAUACAUUAAAAUGUGUCAGUGCAAUGGAAACACAGCCAUUAAAAAUCAUGUUUUCAAAGACCAUUUAGUGAUUUGGUAAAAUGUUUACAACAUAAUGUUAAAUGGGGGCAAAACACAACAUAAAAUACCAUCUCAACAAUUUUUAACAUUUUGAUGUAUUUUUUCCAAUUUUUUCUUGUAUAUAUUCUUCUCUCCUUUUAAAAAGGAGAGAAUGGGGUGGGGUUGGGGUGAGGGGUUAUACUAAUGCUCUUUUGGACAAAGAUGAGGGCUCCACUCUCUCCACUCUGGCUUGGAAGGCACUACCCAAGGUCAAUGCCUCCGUGGAGUAGUUUCCAAGCCUCCUUGUCCCAAUGCACUGGGAGCCCCAUAGAAUGCCAGGAAUCAUCUUCUUUUGGCAGAGAGAUGACUAAUCCAUCCUUCCUCAAAGGUUUCAGUGAACCCCAGGUUAAAUGUCCCUGUGAAUAAGAUCAGAAGCCUCUCCGUGGGGAGUCUGGCCUACAAUCAAACAUGCUUUGGCUAGUUAGAAGUGGUGCUAAGGCUCCCAGAUGAAAGUCAAUUUAGAAAGACAAAAAAAAUCUUUAAAAUAACGAUAAUAAAAAUAUCAAAAGUCAAAGCACCAAUACUGACCAUAAUUAUGAUGAUUAUUUUUAUCAACACUUUUUUUUUUUUUCCUCUGUUGCCUAGGCUGGAGUACAGUGGCUCCAAUCGUGGCUCACCACAACCUCCGCCUCCUGGGUUCAACCAAUUCUCAUACCUCAGCCUCCCAAGAAGCUGGGAUUACAGGCAUGUGCCACCAAGCCCAGCUAAUUUUUGUAUUUUUAGUAGAGACAGGGCUUCAUGAUGUUGGCUGGGCUGGCCUUGAACUCCUGGCCUCAAGCAAUCUGUGCACCUCAGCCUCCCAAAGUGCUGGGAUUACAGGUGUGAGCCACUACUCCCGGCCUUUAUCAGCAGUUUACCUUGACAUGCACUUUUCUAAGUUGCCCAAAUCAUUUUGCAUAUAUCACCUACUUAUUCUGACAGAGUCUCAGCAUUACAUUUUCUAACAAUACUAUUUUGGAGGUAGGAGGGAGCUUUAAAGUUCUGAUGAAAACCAGAAGCUUCUUGAGUUAAAAACAAAACCCUGAAGUGUGGUAUUUUCCAACUUGGUUCUUGACAAGAAAUUAGGGGAUUUCAGUGUGAGAAAUUAUAAAGCCCUAUUACUAUGAAUUCUUAGUUUUGGUGAAUAUGAUGUGGUAUUUCUGCAAAACUCUCUAAGGAGAGUGACAGAACAUUCAUGAUGCUGACCCAUGGGGAGAAAGGAGCUUGCACAUCUGUGCUAUGACAAUUCUAAAACCUCAGGGAUUAAAAUACUCAACUAGUGUAAGAGCUGCCUGUGUGAGACUGUGUGCUCAGUCCACAUCUGCUCAUCAUGGCUCAACAAGGCCAGGCUCAGAUCUUUAGAUGACCUAAGCUCUGAAAAGACUAUAGUGCCUCAAAUUUGAAUUAUUACUCCCAUGUGAAAUUAAAAUAGAAAAAAAUAACAAAAUACAAAAUGAAGGUUGAGAAAGCUCAACAAAGUCUAACUUUUCCCAGGCUGUCUACUUUGAUGCUUUUUUUGAAAUGUCAAAUAUCAAAAUAUUUACAAAAUGUGUGUUUGUACACAAUCCUGCUUUGCUGGUGUUGUCCGUGAGGUCACUCAGCAACCAGUGGUCACAGGGAUCUAUAGCUUUCUUUUAAACACCAAGUGUUGACAGUAGUGAAAUUCUGGUACCUGAUGUGGUGGUCUCACUCCCCUUCCUGUAGUAACAUGCAGCUAGAAAUUAGAAAUCAGGAGGCUGGCCCCCUCCCCCAACCCUAACAACAUUCAUAUGUCAACUCCUGCAUACUCAGUGCUUUGAGGAGUCAUAACAGAUGGUAUUGAAAUUAGCAAGCUGUGAUUAGCCAUUCUCCCACAUGAAUGGACCCUGACGUUGACUGAGACCUUUGACUCUGCCCUUCCUGAAAGACUCUGUUAGGCUAGGACUUCCAGCAACACAUCAUCCCCAUUUGGCUCCAGCUUUUGAAAUCUGGCACAUAUUCUUAACUUAUUCCUUCAAAUGCGCCCUUCUAGCAGGCACUGUAUUCCCCAUUUACCUGGUCUUUUUUUUUUUUUUUUUUUUUUUUGAGAUGGAGUUUCUCUCUUGUUGCCCAGGCCGGAGUCCUAUGGUGUGAUCUCGGUUCACUGCAACCUCUGCCUCCCAGGUUCAAGCAAUUCCCCUGCGUCAGCCUCCCAAGUAGCUGGGAUUAUAGGUGUGCACCACCAUGCUCGGCUAAUUUUGUAUUUUUUUUCAGUAGAGAUGGGGUUUCAUCAUGUUGGUCAGGCUGGUCUUGAACUCCUGACCUCAAGUGAUCCACCUGCCUCGGCCUCCCAAAGUGCUGGGAUUAUAGGAGUGAGCCACCGUGCCCAGCCCAACCUGGUCUUAUCAUUAGCUUACACCACUAGCCCAGCCAGCUCCCCGAUCAAUAGACACUUUCAAUUCCUAACAACUUGGAAAGACAGACUUUCAGAGGCUGAAGUAUUUUUGCAGCAACUCAUCUUGUUAUUCUAUUCCAUUCGUCCUCAGCUCCAUCCUAAUGUAAGGGGACUGGGCAGAGGCUAGGCAGCCGUAACAGGAGAGUAGGCCAGGCAUCAGCCUCUGUUAGAUAUCUGAGAAGCUGUGGCAAAUUGGCCAGUAACAGGUAUCCCCACACAAUAGACAAUACAUGCUCUUCAGGGUGUGGAUGCGGGUGCCAGAAAGGUCAAGUACAGGGGCAAAAGUCAAUCAGAAACCAGAGUGUUUAGUCAGAUAUUGACAAAACUAGAGAACUAGGUACCAGGCACCUCAGGCAAAGACUUUGAGUUCAUUUUUAUUUCACACCUUUAAGUCUGGGGCAUCACAAGGCACCCAUCAUAUGGUUUAUAUUUACCAAUGAGGGGAAUACUUCACCAACAUCAACAAUGGUUAGAAGGUUACAUAAAAUGUUAAACUUAUUAAAAGUUCUCCAAAUAGAGCUUAUAACUUUACCACUUUUUAUUUCAGUAAAUGUUUUGAAACUUUUCCUGAAAAUAAAAAGCUAGACAUAUAUAUCACAUCUUUUGCGGUAGCAUUAAUAGCCCCAGCCUGAGACUUUUUAGUCUACUUUUAAAUGUUUCUUGGCUGGGCCCGGUGGCUCACGCCUGUUAUCCUAGCACUUUGGGAGGCCAAGGUGGGUGGAUUGCUUGAGCCCAGGAGUUCAAGAUCAGCCUGGGCAACAUGGUGAAACCUUGUUUCUACAAAAAAUACAAAAAUUAGCCAGGCAUGGUGACACAUGCCUGUAGUCUCAGUUACUUGAGAGGAUCACUUGAGCCUGAGAAGUUGAGGCUGCAGUGAGCCGUGAUUGUGCCACCGCACUCCAGCCUGGGUGACAGAGUGAAACCCUGUCUCAAAGAAAAAAAAAAAUGUUUCUCAGCUGGGCGCGGUGGCUCAUGACUGUAAUCUCGGCACUUUGGCAGCCCAAGGCCGGCAGAUCACGAGGUCAAGAGAUCGAGACCAUCCUGGCCAACAUGGUGAAACCCCGUCUCUACUAAAAAUACAAAAAUUAGCUGGGUGUGGUGGUGCGCACCUGUAGUCCCAGCUACUCGGGAGGCUGAGGCAGUCGAAUCACUUGAACCUGGGAGGCAGAGGUUGCAGUGAACUGAGAUCAUGCCGAUGCACUCCAGCCUGGCAAUAGAGUAAGACUCUGUCUCAAAAAAAAAAAAAAGAAAGAAAGAAAAACAAGAAAAGAAAAAACAGUUUCUCUAAUAACUUGGUUUAAAGGUCUCAUCUUAGGGAAUUUUCCCCCGAUCAAGUGUCCCAAGACCUGGAGCAGAUAAGGUAGGAUGCAUUUCCAAAGCCUCCAGGAGCAGAGAAAACUAUGAGCUAAGGAAGUCAAGAGCUUUCCUAUAGACCACUGGGGCUCAUAGCUGGGGGAGCAGAAUUCUGUCACAAUUCCAACUAAUAUGACUAGAUCCAGGAAGGAGACCAAGCCAGUAUAGUCCUAGACCUAGAGGAUCCUGAGAGGAAAAAUAAGGAGAAGGAAAUAAGGAAAAUGUCCUUCGUGGUUCACUGGCCACGGGCAACAUGGUGGUGCUCACAUAAAGGCUUAGGGUCAUGAUGGACAGAGGUGUUGAGAAAUCUCAUCCAUUGCGUCUUGCCCUCAUGGCCAGAUGUUACCUAAGAGUGUCAGUCAGGAAAAUCUAAAUGUGGAUAAUUUUUUACUUCUCCCACUGUUUUUAUGCAACUUUAUCCUUGAAUGUCUCCAAGUUUCUUUUAUGUGCUGUGCCAGAGAGAACUACCUCUUCUUCAGAAACCCUCCAGAGCUGUCACUGCUAAGUAGCUGCUCCACCAGGGACUACAUUUCCCAGACUCCUCUGCGGCUAGCUGUGGUCAUGUGAUGGAGUUUUAGCCAAUGGAAUGUGAGUAGAAGUAACACGCACCACUUCUAGGCAGAGCCCAUAAAAAACUCCCAUGUGCACUUUUUCAUGCUCUUUUCUUACUUCACUGAGGAGUGGAGACACCCCUAGGCGACCUUGAAAACCACAUGCUGCAGAAGGCCAAGCCCCUCUCUACCUGUGUCUGAAUGAAUGCAUGAAAGACAGUUGCCCCACUGACGUGUACUGUUACAUGAGCAAGAAAUAAACUGUUGUGUUUGAGCCAUUAUA